GGCACUAUAGCCAAGUGGUUACGGCGAUAGAUUCGAAUUCCUGGGAUCUAGAGAGAUAAUCUAUUACUCGCUGAGUGCGUAGGUUCAAAUCCUGCUGGUGUCG